rnacentral:rRNA from 1 species
UACGUAGGGGGCAAGCGUUGUCCGGAAUCAUUGGGCGUAAAGAGCGUGUAGGCGGCCUGGUACGUCCGCUGUGAAAGUCCAGGGCUCAACCCUGGAAUGCCGGUGGAAACUGUCAGGCUCGAGUCCGGAAGAGGCGAGUGGAAUUCCCGGUGUAGCGGUGAAAUGCGCAGAUAUCGGGAGGAACACCAAUGGCGAAGGCAGCUCGCUGGGACGUUACUGACGCUGAGACGCGAAAGCGCGGGGAGCGAACAGG